UUAACUUUUUUUUUUUUUUUGGAACUCAUAUGCAAUUCCAAAAUUUUAUGCUUGGAAACCAUGAACUGUUCAUUUCAAUUUCUCAUUCAUUCUAUCAAAUUUAACAAUGCCCUCAAGCAGCCUUCUCAAACCAUGAGUGGUCUGGAUUUCUAUAACGUAAGCAUUCCAGAACCCUGCAAUAUCAAGACAAACUCGAUCUUUCUUGACUUCUUUUUGUCAAAGGCCCUUUAAUAUCUCAUUUCUGUGUUAGUAAAAUCAAUUGGAAAGGUUUCAUCAGAUUAUGGAUGCCUAGUAAAAAGUGCUAAAUUCCCUGUCAGUAAGUUUUUGUCCUUUUGUUCUGGUCUGUGCUUGGGUUUUCGCCUUUCUCCUAUCCGAUCGUGUUUUAUGUUGUUUGAUUUGAUAAUCUAGCAUGUUUUAAAUGGUUGAAUGCUACAUUUCUUUUGAAAUAGUUCCUGUUAUUUCCAUCUGGACAUAAAAUUCUCUUCUGAAGCAGUUAUUUUCUUUUUGUUCAGG
rnacentral:misc_RNA from 1 species